rnacentral:rRNA from 1 species
GUUAAGCGACUAAGCGUACACGGUGGAUGCCCUGGCAGUCAGAGGCGAUGAAGGACGUGCUAAUCUGCGAUAAGCGUCGGUAAGGUGAUAUGAACCGUUAUAACCGGCGAUUUCCGAAUGGGGAAACCCAGUGUGAUUCGUCACACUAUCAUUAACUGAAUCCAUAGGUUAAUGAGGCGAACCGGGGGAACUGAAACAUCUAAGUACCCCGAGGAAAAGAAAUCAACCGAGAUUCCCCCAGUAGCGGCGAGCGAACGGGGAGCAGCCCAGAGCCUGAAUCAGUGUGUGUGUUAGUGGAAGCGUCUGGAAAGGCGUGCGAUACAGGGUGACAGCCCCGUACACAAAAAUGCACAUACUGUGAGCUCGAUGAGUAGGGCGGGACACGUGGUAUCCUGUCUGAAUAUGGGGGGACCAUCCUCCAAGGCUAAAUACUCCUGACUGACCGAUAGUGAACCAGUACCGUGAGGGAAAGGCGAAAAGAACCCCGGCGAGGGGAGUGAAAAAGAACCUGAAACCGUGUACGUACAAGCAGUGGGAGCACGCUUAGGCGUGUGACUGCGUACCUUUUGUAUAAUGGGUCAGCGACUUAUAUUCUGUAGCAAGGUUAACCGAAUAGGGGAGCCGAAGGGAAACCGAGUCUUAACUGGGCGUUAAGUUGCAGGGUAUAGACCCGAAACCCGGUGAUCUAGCCAUGGGCAGGUUGAAGGUUGGGUAACACUAACUGGAGGACCGAACCGACUAAUGUUGAAAAAUUAGCGGAUGACUUGUGGCUGGGGGUGAAAGGCCAAUCAAACCGGGAGAUAGCUGGUUCUCCCCGAAAGCUAUUUAGGUAGCGCCUCGUGAAUUCAUCUCCGGGGGUAGAGCACUGUUUCGGCAAGGGGGUCAUCCCGACUUACCAACCCGAUGCAAACUGCGAAUACCGGAGAAUGUUAUCACGGGAG